GCUGGGUGUGGUGGCACAUGCCUGUAAUCCCAGAGACUCAGGAGGCUGAGGCAGGAGGAUUGUGAGUUAAAAGCCAGCCUCAGCAACUUAGCAAGGCCUUGAGCAACUCAGCAAGACCCUGUCUCUA
rnacentral:sRNA from 1 species